AGAAAAGGAACCACGACGCAAGCGUGCGGAUUGCAAGCUAUCAGAAAUCUAACUAGGAAUCAGCAAGCAGUCGACAUUUAUACCAAGUCUUUUUAGACAGGAGAAAAUUAACAAUUGGCUGAUGUUGUGUGUAUCACAUACCAGAAGGCUUUUCCUUAACUGAUCGUUUACUUUAAAUAGGACUUUCAGCGAUGACGUAGGAUUACCCGUGCAUGAACGUAAAUAAUCGGCAUCGCUGUCUAAUCCCAACUUUAAGCAUGGAGAACCGAUUUUGCAGGAAAUAACCAGAGAUAUUUUCCAUUCCGAGCGGACAGCGACAAGAUUUUUGAUUGAUAGGCUAGAACAGCCUUGGAGGGCUUUUAGACCAAUCUGUGGUAAAUUCUACUGGACAGAAACUUUCCAUUACCCAGCAAUCAAUGCAGGAGAAUGGCCUUAUUUAGAACAUUUUAUUUCCGGUCCAGCCGACGCAUUUUUAUGGGACCGAUUUUAUCUUGUAGCAUAGACAUCUUUAAAUAUCAAUUAUUGCCUUUUCUCUAGAUCAUGACAAUGUAAAUAUGAUAGCCAACAGGAAUGGAACUACCUACUCUAAAAAGGGAAACACCGCUAAAUAAAGAACCGAUUUGUCUGCAUUUUACAAUUGGAAAACCUGGUCAUUCAGUUUAAUGUUUUUAUAAAUCAUUGCAGAAUUUUAUGACAAUUGCCGGUGUCUCUAACAUGUAUGAAAGAAGAAUUAAUUGACUUACUAAGAACGUCAAAUAAGAGGCAAUGUAUGUAAAUGGAGUCUGACUGUAUUUCUUAACACGAAUCCGGUGAAAUUUUGUCAUAUACAUAUACUAAGUAUUACGCCAUCACUCUCCAAGGUGCUUAUUAUUUUCUAAGGAGCAAAUUUGGUAAAUUUAUGUUUUGUUUUUCAUACUAUAGAUGAGGAGGCAUUGAAUAUUGCUAAUUUAUAUUUUUACCAAAAAAAAACCCCAGCACUUUUAGCUUUAUAAAAACUUUUAUCAACAAUAUGUCCGGAAUUGAAACC
rnacentral:sRNA from 1 species